rnacentral:rRNA from 1 species
GAUGAACGCUAGCUACGGGCUUAACACAUGCAAGUCGAGGGGCAGCAUGGUCUUAGCUUGCUAAGGCCGAUGGCGACCGGCGCACGGGUGAGUAACACGUAUCCAACCUGCCGUCUACUCUUGGACAGCCUUCUGAAAGGAAGAUUAAUACAAGAUGGCAUCAUGAGUCCACAUGUUCACAUGAUUAAAGGUAUUCCGGUAGACGAUGGGGAUGCGUUCCAUUAGAUAGUAGGCGGGGUAACGGCCCACCUAGUCUUCGAUGGAUAGGGGUUCUGAGAGGAAGGUCCCCCACAUUGGAACUGAGACACGGUCCAAACUCCUACGGGAGGCAGCAGUGAGGAAUAUUGGUCAAUGGGCGAGAGCCUGAACCAGCCAAGUAGCGUGAAGGAUGACUGCCCUAUGGGUUGUAAACUUCUUUUAUAAAGGAAUAAAGUCGGGUAUGGAUACCCGUUUGCAUGUACUUUAUGAAUAAGGAUCGGCUAACUCCGUGCCAGCAGCCGCGGUAAUACGGAGGAUCCGAGCGUUAUCCGGAUUUAUUGGGUUUAAAGGGAGCGUAGAUGGAUGUUUAAGUCAGUUGUGAAAGUUUGCGGCUCAACCGUAAAAUUGCAGUUGAUACUGGAUAUCUUGAGUGCAGUUGAGGCAGGCGGAAUUCGUGGUGUAGCGGUGAAAUGCUUAGAUAUCACGAAGAACUCCGAUUGCGAAGGCAGCCUGCUAAGCUGCAACUGACAUUGAGGCUCGAAAGUGUGGGUAUCAAACAGGAUUAGAUACCCUGGUAGUCCACACGGUAAACGAUGAAUACUCGCUGUUUGCGAUAUACAGCAAGCGGCCAAGCGAAAGCGUUAAGUAUUCCACCUGGGGAGUACGCCGGCAACGGUGAAACUCAAAGGAAUUGACGGGGGCCCGCACAAGCGGAGGAACAUGUGGUUUAAUUCGAUGAUACGCGAGGAACCUUACCCGGGCUUAAAUUGCAGAUGAAUUACGGUGAAAGCCGUAAGCCGCAAGGCAUCUGUGAAGGUGCUGCAUGGUUGUCGUCAGCUCGUGCCGUGAGGUGUCGGCUUAAGUGCCAUAACGAGCGCAACCCUUGUUGUCAGUUACUAACAGGUUCCGCUGAGGACUCUGACAAGACUGCCAUCGUAAGAUGUGAGGAAGGUGGGGAUGACGUCAAAUCAGCACGGCCCUUACGUCCGGGGCUACACACGUGUUACAAUGGGGGGUACAGAGGGCCGCUACCACGCGAGUGGAUGCCAAUCCCAAAAACCUCUCUCAGUUCGGACUGGAGUCUGCAACCCGACUCCACGAAGCUGGAUUCGCUAGUAAUCGCGCAUCAGCCACGGCGCGGUGAAUACGUUCCCGGGCCUUGUACACACCGCCCGUCAAGCCAUGGGAGCCGGGGGUACCUGAAGUGCGUAACCGCGAGGAG